rnacentral:rRNA from 1 species
UACAGAGGGUGCGAGCGUUGUUCGGAAUUAUUGGGCGUAAAGCGCUUGUAGGCGGCUUGUUAAGUUCCGUGUGAAAUCCCCAGGCUUAACCUGGGAAGUGCGCGGAAAACUGGCGAGCUUGAGUGCCGGAGAGGGUCGCGGAAUUCCCGGUGUAGAGGUGAAAUUCGUAGAUAGUCGGGAGGAACAUCCGAGUGGCGAAGGCGGCGACCUGGACGGACACGUGACGCUGAGACGG